rnacentral:rRNA from 1 species
GACGAACGCUGGCGGCGUGCUUAACACAUGCAAGUCGAACGGAAAGGCCCUGCUUUUGUGGGGUGCUCGAGUGGCGAACGGGUGAGUAACACGUGAGUAACCUGCCCUUGACUUUGGGAUAACUUCAGGAAACUGGGGCUAAUACCGGAUAGGAGCUCCUGCUGCAUGGUGGGGGUUGGAAAGUCUCGGCGGUUGGGGAUGGACUGGCGGCUUAUCAGCUUGUUGGUGGGGUAGUGGCUUACCAAGGCUUUGACGGGUAGCCGGCCUGGGAGGGUGGCCGGGCACAUUGGGACUGAGAUACGGCCCAGACUGCAACGGGAGGCAGCAGGGGGGAGUAUUGCACAAUGGGCGGAAGCCUGAUGCGGCAACGCCGCGUGCGGAAUGACGGCCUUCGGGUUAUGAACCGCUUUCGCCUGUGACGAAGCGUGAGUGACGGUAAUGGGUAAAGAAGCACCGGCUAACUACGUG